CCGAUCUCACUUCGUGGUUGACGGUGAGGGUCUCUUUCUUGUUGAUUUAUAUUUCUCAUCAAUUUCGACGAUCAGAACCGUCUUUGUUGUCAACUUUUUAGAUUCGUCGGUGUGAAGUGUACUUGCUGUAGAGGUGUCUAUUAGACCUUUCCAAUAUUUACCAUGGAUUGGGCGAGCGUUUCGAGACGAAACGUAUUUGAUUUGCAGGUUUUCUCUUGCAAGGAGGUGAUCAGUUUUAGCUAUGCAGAUCGCUAUUCUGCCUAACGAGUAUCCGUAGAGAAUCAAGAACUUCAGGGAAAGUUAGGUUUUUCUGGUUUUUCUCUGAUUACAAAAAUCGACGGUGUGAAUUUCGGUUCCUACAGUCAUGAUUAUGCGGGAUGCUUCAACUUCAAGUUACUCUUGUCUGCCAUUUUACCUUGUUCAUCAAACAAAAUCAGUUUAAAAAGAACAAGAUUAUAUGAACUAAAGGAACAUCGAUUACUUCAAAGAGUACACAACCGACACAAGCGAUUACUGUUUAUAUUCAAGACUUCAUUACAUUCAAUAAAAAAACUAAAUCAUUAGGUAGAUCCUCUCAUAUCUUAC
rnacentral:misc_RNA from 1 species